GAUGAACGCUAGCGGCAGGCUUAACACAUGCAAGUCGAGGGGCAUCGAGAGUAGCAAUACUUGUCGGCGACCGGCGCAAGGGUGCGUAACACGUGAGCAACAUACCCGUUUCAGGAGGAUAACCGGAGGAAACUCUGCCUAAUACUCCAUGACAUCAUCAAACGGCAUCGUUUGAUGAUUAAAGAUUUAUCGGAAACGGCUUGGCUCGCGGGACAUUAGCUUGUUGGUGAGGUAACGGCUCACCAAGGCUACGAUGUCUAGGGGUUCUGAGAGGAAGGUCCCCCACACUGGAACUGAGACACGGUCCAGACUCCUACGGGAGGCAGCAGUGAGGAAUAUUGGACAAUGGUCGGAAGACUGAUCCAGCCGUGCCGCGUGAAGGUUACUGUCCUAUGGAUAUUAAACUUCUUUUGUAUGAGAGCAAUAAGGUGCACGCGUGCACCGAUGAGAGUAUCAUACGAAUAAGCAUCGGCUAACU
rnacentral:rRNA from 1 species